AGAAAACUCGACAUGGGCUGCACCAUCCUCUCUCAGAGCCUUUGACAGGGAGCCGCGGACGAUAAGUGCAGACUUCGGUGCAACGGUGAGAAACGGCACGGGGCCCCCACGCACCUGUUCCCCGGCUCCCGCGGCGGCCACGCCCGGGACCUCGGCACAGCCAGCUCCCGGCGCUGCUGCUGCCCCCGCCGGGGCCCGUGCUCUUGGAUCUUGGUCCCCACACAGCGGCCGUGCACUGUGACCCGGCAGCUACCUGGAGGGCAGAAGCGUCCAGAACAGAAAGCACUGAGUUGGGACCACGGGCACCCGGAGAAUUCCCCAGGACGCUCCGCCCCGCAGAGCCGACCCGCGGCCGCACACCCCCCUGCACGCACCUGCGGCGGCCGCGCUUCCACGGGCGCACACGCGUCCCAGCGGACCCGCUCCGAGCACAAUGCAAACCCAGAUCUUCGGUGAAACGAAUGCCUUCCGAGCGACGGGCUGGGAGGCGGGCGUGGGGAGAGCGCGGCCUCGCGUGGAAGGACAACCCGAGUGCUUCCUGGAAGCCACCCGGGCACUUCUGCAGACAGCGGUCACGUCAUCGCGGCCACCCGGGGCUGUGCUGGGAAUCCCGGCGGGACGUGUGGGAGAGGCCAGAGGGGGGCUGAGGGGGCCGUUAGCGGACGGGGCGUUUCCGUGUCCCGAUAAGUGACUCUAAGCUGGACACAAAAACCACACACACGGUUUCCUAUGA